ACAGUGACCGCGGGACCUAGACUGAGAGUGCCGGCCUACGGCAGACCACAUGACAGGGACCCGGUCAGUGCCUCGGUCCCUCCGUCUCCGCGAUGGGGAGGGACGGGACUGUGAGACGCGAUGACAGACAUACGGCCGCCACCAGGACACACAGGAGCCGGCAGUGGUGACGGCAGCAGAGAACACAGCCCUGCUGGACGCCAGCCUCCCACCUGCCUGGGAAAUCGCGGCUCAGAUUGAAACCUGGAGCCAGGGCCGGUGCCAACCAGCGCUCGCCCACGGCCUCCGCCUGGCCCAGCGUGGCAGGAGACAGUGGGCGGGACGAGGGACCACGUUUGUCCCGAAGUCCCCUUCAGGAACAUCUGCAGUGAAGCAGAUCUUGGGAAACAAGCCAUCGGGGUUGAUAGCCCACACCACCAGGACAAAAAGAUGUUUAAAAACGUGGGCAGCGUAGCCAAUGGGUCCUUGAAAAGAAAUCAGAAAUCUCCGAGGAAUGUUCGGUGAGCAGAGGAGGAACAGGCGGGAGGCUGACUCAUCCAAGGAGCAGACUGCGCCUUCAGAAUCAGCAGCCAGAGGCCGGAGGAACCGAUCCUGUCGGGGGAAGCGGAGGCGAGUCACGGAGCAUUUAUAACGGGACGGAAACCACCCGAACAGCUGACAGCACAGGAGGGACACCCACACGGGGCCAGUCGGGGACAAUGAAGGCCCCGUGUGGCUGCAUGCAAGAGUGAUGCGGGUGACCUCAGGAGAGGGCGGGACACAGACUACCCACAAGCCUCAUUCCGUCACACUGGGGGGGAUUCAUUCUGGAGCCCUAUUGGCUAUUCGGAGUCCCUUUUUAAACAGGGCAUAAAGAUCUCUGAACACAGAACCUCGAGCCUCCUCCUUCCUCCUGAAAGCAGACUUCGGCAAUGCGACCUCAGACCACACUAAGUUCACCGCUCCCUCACCGCGGGCUCCGGCGGCGGCUCGCCAAGUGUUCCGUGUGCCACCACCUUGCCCAGCCCGCCCACCUCCUAGCCAGCUCACCCACCACAGGCUUCAAGAGUUUGUCUGUUUACACCCGAAUAAAGUAUUUUCAAUUUAU